CAGUAGCCACGGUAAUACGGAGGGUGCAAGCGUUAAUCGGAAUUACUGGGCGUAAAGCGCACGCAGGCGGUCUGACAAGUCAGAUGUGAAAUCCCCGGGCUUAACCUGGGAACUCCAUUUGAAACUGUCAGGCUGGAGUCUUGUAGAGGGGGGUGGAAUUCCAGGUGUAGCGGUGAAAUGCGUAGAGAUCUGGAGGAAUACCGGUGGCGAAGGCGGCCCCCUGGACAAAGACUGACGCUCAGGUGCGAAAGCGUGGGGAGCAAACAGGAUUAGAUACCCCGGUAGUCCCUGUCUCUUAUAC
rnacentral:rRNA from 1 species